UCAUGACAGGUGUUAUGUAAUGUUUAUGAAGGUGUCAUGACGGUCUUAUUCAACCCCCUUCAAAUAAAGUGUUACCGAUUUUUUUUAUUUUACCAGAUAAUAGAAUUAAGACAUAUCAGUUUCCAUAUAAAUUAGAAUUAAUUUUUACACAUAAAAUAACAAUGGUUGAAGUCAGACGUUUGUAAGAGAAGCAAAGUUUCAGUUUAGUAUCCUUUACAAAACCAGUUUGGAUUCUUUAAACCAACCAGUUCAAAUGGACUCGAUCAGCGUUGCCAGGGCAACGGAUCAGAUGUGAAAUAAAUGAUCCCAUAAUCUUGUUGAUCGAAACGUCAAGCUGCAGUUUUGGAGCUGCAGCUUGACGUUGUUUUAUUCUAGCUUGAUGUUGUCUUCCGCUAGCUUGACGUUGUGUUAUGCUAGCUUGACGUUGUCUUGCGCUAGCUUGAUGUUGUCUUGCUCUCGCUUGACGUUGUUUUGUUAGCUUGACGUUGUUUUAUGCUAGCUUGAUGUCUUGCGCUCGCUUGACGUUGUUUUAUGCUAUAUUGACGUUGUCUUGCGAUAGCUUGACGUUGUCUUGCGCUAGCUUGACGUUGUCUUGCGCUAGCUUGACGUUGAUUUGCGCCAGCGUGACGUUGAUUUGCGCCAGCGUGACGUUGAUUUGCGCUAGCUUGACCUUGUUUUGCGCUAGCUUGUCGUCGGAUUGCGCUAGCUUGACGUCGAUUUGCGCUAGCUUUACGUUGUUCUCCGCUAGGUUGACGUUAGCCCCUCCAUGGCAGUAAAACCUCCCAGAUGCUUCCAUCUCAGCCUCUGCAGGAGCCUGAUCAUGUCUGACAGGAAUUUACAGUUUCAGGUCAAAACCUAUAAAUAAGCUUAUGAAUAUUUAACAUUUCUCUCUGCUUCAGGCUUCUGAUGUCCAGACUUUAACUUCCUGCUGAAAUCCCGUCGGUGUUGAUGUAGUGUUGACGCCCGGCUGCUGCCAGUCAUGAACAAGCUCUGCUCCGGCAGUUCUGCCGAAACGGGUUUUUUAUGAAGUCGCCUUUAACGAAGCUUUUCUGGAGCAGAAAGUCGCUGAGCGCCUGCUGGGAAUCGAAGCAGAGCGAUUCUUUUCUCCCGCCUGGCGGCAGAAAUCCGUUUCUUCCUGUUUGGUAUUCGGGUCUGGGGUUGAAUCGAUUCAUCUGUUGAGCUGAGCUCACCUCAUCGAGCCGCUGUUGACCUUUGACACUCUGAGCUCACCUGACUCACCUGGUUCAGGUUGUUAAACGCUGUGUGUGUGUGUGUGUGUGUGUGUGUUUGUUCUCACUAGAAGAGAGGAGGAAUCGCUGCACAAAGCAGAUUGAUUUAGUUUUAAAAGUUUCUGGAUCUUUGAUUUCAGAAAACAUUCAGGAAUGAAAAUAAUUUUUAAAAUGUCUGUGGACAUAUUUCAAAUUUUACCCUUUCUAGCUCUUUUUCAGCUCAACCACCU